ACUAGGGAAGGAUUUCUUUCUGAAGAUCCCUCUUUUUUGAGUUUUCUACUAGCCUAGGAUGUGGGAAAUCCUAUUUCACUGGCUGAACGGAGCAACGGAAAAGCACCAAAUUCAUAGUGCUACUGCCUGCCACCCAGGAGAUUAAGAAAGAAAAAAUCGCACCCACUGACAUUCAUUGAUGCUUGCUGAACGUUUAUGGAGACCAAAUAGUGGCUGUGAGGACAGUGAAGUGGUGGGUGGUACAUUUCAGCAGUGGCAGCAGUGAGGUGAAAGACAAGCCACGUUCCAGAUGGUCAUGCAUAGCUGUCAAAACUGUGAAAUGAAGAGCAUCUCAAUCAGCUCAUCCACAUGAAUGAGAUGAUUGUGACCAGGGGACUGUGUACAGAGCUGAAUAUCUGAUUCAACACAUUGGAAACAAUGGUGGCAGCAUUGGAAUAUUGCAAAGUUUGCACAGCGUGAGUCCCUGGAACAGAAAGAAUGCCAUAUGCAAGUUUGUCAAGACUUAUUGAACCAAUAGAAGGAUGAAGGUAACAGUUUCCUUCAUCCAGUUUCCUUUAUCACAUUAUUACCAGUGAUAAGAUGUGGUGUCACCAUUAUGAGUUGGAGUCAGAAUAGCAGUCGAUGUAGUGGCAACAUGUGAAUUCCCCAACAAAGAAAAUGACACAACCCUCAGCAGGUGAAGUGAUGUGCACUGUCUUUAGGGAUAGGAAAUGGGUGAUCCUUCUGAAUUUUCUGGAACCCAAACAAACUCUUAUCUCUGAACGCUACAUUGCAACGCUGACUAAGCUGAAGGCUCAAACUGCCAGAGUCAGCCAGAGAAGACAACCUUUCUCUUGCAACCCAAUAAUGCCAAGCCCCAUACUAGUUUGAAGAUUGUGGAGUACAUUGCCUAUCUUGGAUAGAGUGUCCUAUCAUGCCUACUGUGUAGUCCAGGUUUGGCACAAUCUGUCUUCUAUUUAUUCUGGAUGAUGAAAGCUUGACUGCAUGGGCAACGUUUUCCUAGCAAUUAUACUGUCAUAGCAGCUGUGAAAUAGUGGAUUACCUCUUCUAGAGCAGAUUUUUGUGAGUGUAGCAUGCAUGCUCUUAUCACCAGUGAAAAUGCAUAGAUAAUGGUGAUGACUGUGCUGAAAAAUAAUGUUUUGUAGUUGAAAACUUGCUCUAUCAAAUAGUGUUAUCGUGAUCUUGAAACUCUCGUAGUUUUUGUGGAAAAAGAAUAGACAGCAUUACUUUUGGAGCAACCUACAUAGAAUGAGCGAAGAAACUUCAGUGGAAUGAAAAAAAAGAGUGCAGCCUGGGGUUUCUAGUAAUGCUGCACUCUUUUUUCUUCAUUCCACUGAAAAUUGUCAUAGUAUUUGCAAACAGAAGAGCUUCUUAAUUUUUAUCUCAUUAUUACUCUCUGCUAAGUUUCAGAGUGUUUAAAAAAAAAAAAAAAGUAACAGGUGGGCUAUCUAGCAAACUUUCAGUCAGGGUCUGAUUUUGUAUUGCAUUCUUUGUGUUUGAAUUGAUAUAACAUCCCUUAUUCCAGUCAGGGCCCGACACUAAAGUUUCAGUGUCUAAUAGAAGUAAUACUCUCGCACUGAGGCCACAGUUAUGUUUUGGAUUGAAAUGAAAGUUCUGAGUAUGCCUCAAAUGUCCUUCCAGAGAAGCAACUGAAGGAACUAGAAUAAAUGACAAUGAACUUCUUCUCUGAAAUAAAUUACAGACUAGAAUGAUGAGGCAAGAGCUUCAGAAGUCUACCUUGGCAUCACAGACAGCACACAAAUUUUUGCUAUUCCUUUCUUUAUAGCCAGUACCAUUUUCUUUUGAUAUUACUCAACAGGGCAAGGUCCCAUGGCAUUGUGUCUCCUAGCUUCUGAGAUUUGACAGGGAGUAACCAUUGAUGAUUUGAAAACUUGGGAUAAAAAUAUUUUGUAAAAAUAUUUGGUAGCCUCCAGAAUGGUCAGCAUUUCACAAGAAAGGGGCAGAGGAAGGAUGAAGUAGAGUCUUGAUUUUAAUUGACAAUGUGCGUAUAUGGUUGGUGCUGAUUAUACCAGUAACAAGACCAUCAAACAAGGAUCUUAAAUUUCACUGAGCUAUUUUAGCAAUAAUAGGCCAUAAUUAUGCUUUAUGCAAGUUUAUUUUGAGAAAACAGUAGAUCAAAUGUGAGUUACAGGAAACCAAAGCAUAAGGCUUUUGGCAUUGACUUCCAGCUUCAAUUCCAGAACAUAGACUUUUACUUAAAAUGGAAUACAAGGGGAGUAGGGCAAUCUAACAGAUGCCAACACUUUUUUGUGCAUGGAUUUGAAUUCCAAAUUGCAUCACCUCCUUUCAUACUGGUGAGUUAACCUGAAUUAAACUAACAUAACUGAAUAGGUAUGUGCAGAGAAGUAGUUUUUGUUUUACUCACUGACAGUAGUUUUCAGCACCUUACUGCUGCUCACAAAAUUAUCCUUCUUAGUCUUCAGAUGUGAUGUCUAAGCAUUAGUAUCUUUGGCAGUGAUUUGGAACAACAUUUGUUAGGUAUCAGUGUUUCUGUUUUGAGCUUUCAACCUCAGUUGCUGAACAGCCAAACUUACUUUCAAAGGGAAAGACAAAUAUGAGACGCCCCAGACCUAUGUAAUUUAAACUCAUAAGUCUUUAAACAACAUUUCUUGUGUGAUGUUGUGUAAAUUCUAUACCUGUAUCUAAUAAUAGACUAUUAACCAUUUUAUUUUAUU